CUUUAAGGGUCCUGAAGGAACGUUGAAGACGACGACGUUGAUAGGCCGGGUGUGUAAGCGCAGCGAUGCGUUGAGCUAACCGGUACUAAUGAAGCGUGAGGCUUAACCUUACAACGCCGAAGCUGUU
rnacentral:rRNA from 1 species